ensembl:lncRNA
CAGUUGGAGAACAUAAGCCACUUUUAGGUAAUUCUCAAGUGGAAAUCCUACUUACUACCUCCUCACUGUGAAGGUCCAUCCCACGAAGGCAGCAGCCUCUCGUCCCAGGACACCUGCCACGGGGAGAGGACAGCGGGGCCUGGCAGCAGCCUCAUGACGACACCCGGGGGGGUUAACCUCGGGGAGGCCUCACUUGAUUCACACACACUGACCACCUGUCUAUUCCACACUGUACUCUGCAAAGAGGGAAAGAUAAUAUAUACUCGAUAAUAUAUACUCAAUCUCUCUUACUCUCCUGAGCUGCGUCAUAGAAACUUUUUGUGUUUAACCCAACAGCCAUGUUGACAAAAGCAAGGAUUCCCUCCCAUCCUAACCCCGAUCCCAACACUGGAAGAGAGGUACUUUAUCAAGAAGCAAGCAACUAUGAGGCUAGCUUUAUGGCUUUUGUAAAUGAUAAUAAAGUACCAAUGUAGCAAAUGAAAGCCAAGCUUAUAAGCACUGUGCAUUUAGAUAGCAAAAUCAGGUCCUCAAUAACAAGAAACAAACCUCAAAAGUGAAUUUCUGAAUCCGCACGCAUGUAGACAGUUAGGCUCGUCCUUUCUCAGCACCUCUCAGCCUCUUUCCCAAGUGCCAAGGAGCCCCGGAGGAAAGGCCGGUCUGUGCUCUGGCCCCGGGUGCCCACCUCCAGCACAGCCCCCUACCACCCGGACCGCUUCUCCUGGUUACCAAGCCAGCUGGGAGGACUCGUGGGCUCCGGCCCCGGGUGCCCACCUCCAGCACAGCCCCCUACCACCCAGACCGCUUCUCCUGGUUACCAAGCCAGCUGGGAGGACUCGUGGACCCUGACUUGGUUUUAGUCUAAGUACAUUUGUUGUAGGUUUCAUGUUCAAAAGCCAAAUGGAAUAUAUGAUUUUUUUUGGGUCCUGGAUAUAAGCUUCAGUGAAGGAAAGCAAAGAUGAUAAAAUCAAGACCAAUUGCCACUUCUUUCUGUUUACUGUCAGUCUUGGUGUUUUCUAUUCAAGUGAAACGGAUGUAAAAUCCAAGUGAAUUUUUUAGGCUUCCCUGAAAAAAGGAUACACUUAAAAAUUAUGUGAGAUUGUAAAAUUUGCAGAUUUCUUUGUACAGAUCAGGGGUUGGCAAAUGACCUCCAGGCUAAAUCUGGUCAGAGGCCUGGAUUUUUACAGCCAAGAGCUAGCAGUGGAUUUUACAUUUUAAAAUAUUUAUAUAAGUAUCUACAUAAUAUUGUGAUUUUUACCUCUUGGUCCACAGAGCCUCUUAUGAAAACGUUUUGCUGACUCCUGGUCCACAUGGCAGAAAACACACCCGGCUCAUGUUCUGUUUCUAGGCUCGGAAAGCGGACGUCAGGCUGUGGACAGACAGGGUGUGUGGGAACCCGAGCCCUGUGGAGGGGAGGGACGGGCCCUGGAGGAGUCCUUGGCUCCCCGCCCCACGUGGAAGGGGUCGCUGGGUCACUGUAUGCAGGCAGCAUUGGACAGGACUUCUUUUUCAGCUCAGGAAACUGGAACCCCUGCCCCUGCUCCAUCAGACGCAAAUACGCAAGCAAUAAAACCUCCCUCUCCUACAAACCCUGACAGUAGAUCUUACUUCUCACCAGUGGGCCAUGCAGGCAGCUCUGCACACUUCACUCAUCUUAACAGAAUCCAUUUACCAAGACACAGCGAGCCACUCAAGCUUGCGUUCUGAUGCGUUUGGUAUUGGCGUGUAGAGAAACGAGAACGUUCUUGCCUCCACCCACUCGCAACAGUCCCCAGCCCAUACGCCGCCGUACACGCGUCCGUAUCUGCUCGGCUGCCCGGGGGAGGCCGGCAGGUGGUCGCCGCUGCGGGUGCCCAGCAGUCCCCGUCCCACACCCCAGCCACAAGGAGAACCGUCACUUCGCUAGUUUCAGUUCAGGCUGGGAAACCACCACCACACGAUAAUCGGGCUUGCUUUUAGUCAGUAGGCAGAAUGUGAAAACUGUGUAAUUUUCAUCACAUAUUUUGUUCUUUUACCUAAAAGAACUUGUACCUGUGCUUUGUGAACUGGGCCCCCGUCUGUGCCAGGUCCUCCAGAGGGGCCGCGUGGAAGGACACACGUGGCCACGUCUCCCUGCGCACAUGCCUUCCCCACGUGGCACUCAUGCUCCUGUGUGCGGUGUUAGCCACCCUUGGCCUAUGUGGACUUUUUUUUUUUGUAAAUGACAGUUUCCAGAUGGCAUUAAACUUUUUAUAUUAUGAAAUUUACCAUGUAAAAAGAACUUGGUAUUUUUAUUGAGAUUGC